rnacentral:lncRNA from 12 species
AUGUUUUAAAAUGUCAGGAAAGUCUGGAUCCAUCUGAGGACACUUCCAAUGUCAAAGCUCUAACAUCCUACAACUCUUCAGCAACUGCUGUGAGGAAAAUAAUCAGAUUUUAUCAGAACAGAUCCAGUUUCUCACCUUUAACUCUGAUGUGGGAGAGUUAACUGAUACAAAGGGACUUGAUGUCAUGAAAAUAUAUAAUGGCCAGCUAACUCGGCUCCAGUAGCUUCAAAGAUCAAAGAUUGGGAAAGGUCCUUACAAUGGCAUUUUCAGGUGAGAUGGGAGUUUUCUAGCCUCUGCAAUAUCUGAUCUGGCAUCCCACAAUCU